ACCGUCACAAGCUUUCUCCCACUCUCCACUUUCCCCUCUCCAUUCCUUCAUAUUGCCGCCUCCAUUACUCCCUUUCUUCCUCUGUUUUCACUUUCUUUCUUUUUCAUCAGCCUGAUCAUCAUCAUUCAGAAAUAAAAAAUUACACCCAACCAACUCCACUUCUCCAUUUUUUCCUUCUUUGAAAGCCUACCUUUUCGUUUCUUUUUUUUUUUUCGUUUCUUCUUUCUUCCUUUACCCACCGGACCAAAAGGUCCAAAACAGAAAAAUGCAGAUGAUUCCUUUGUCUCACAUCUUUCUCCUCACUUCCCAAUUAAUGGCUGAUCCCUGCCAAACUCUCUCUUCGUCGUCAAAAAACAAGAAAGGGGGAACAAGGAUGAAGGGGGAGGAUGUUUAAUUCAUCUCAACCAUCUGCAUCAUUUUUGACCAAAUAUAAUCGUGUUAGGAUAACAAAGAUGCAAAUGUCUCACUAUUGCAGCCCCUAUUUUCUUGGGAUGAAAAUAAGAAGCAAAUGAAGUUGAAAAUGAGGCAUCGAAGCUACAUGAGAUGAAAGGGGGCAAUAAUUGCCAAGAAAAUCUGUAUGUGGAUUUUGCCUUUCUUCGUAUGUCAAUUUCUUUGUAGCUCAGUUUUUGUUCUUUUGACUUUAUCUGGUAGUUAUUUUUCAAUAUUUUCUUUCUUUUUUUUUUCGAGGUUUUUUGGUUGUACAAGCGCUAGCCUCAUGGUAAUGGAAGGUGAAACUAUCCGAAUUAAUGUGAAGAACAAACCUUCUAGUAGAACAGGCAUGCUUUCAGCUACAGGAUUGUUAAAUGGACAUCCUGGAACUGUAAAGGCCAAAACUCUAAGCAUAGCACCACUCCCCAGUGGAGGAGUGAGGAUUUAGUCUCCUCUCCGACCCCCUCCCAAUGAUUCUGCAGCUGCUAGGAUGACUUUGGGAAGGCAUGAUACUACUCUUAAGGGGCCUAAGGAAGUUGCUAGACAUUCUGCUGAUCCACUGGCAAAUCUGUCACAACUGGAGAAGAAUCUUCCUACAACCACUGGAACAGGUUCUAAGAAGUCCACUGUAGCUGGAUGGGCUGCUUUUUUAUCAUGUUAGCAUUUGACUGUUGGUGGUUCGGAUCUUUGUCUCCUAUUGUAUUUAACAAGCUGAGAAAAAUUGAAAAGAAAAUUCAUAACUGAAGGAAUUUCAAUAUGUGCUCCAUCUUUGGAGGAAUAAUUAUUCUCGAAAUGUGUUGAUAUCGUUCUUUUGACAUACUUGGACUGUUGAUCUCAAAUUUAUAUGCGUAUAACACAAGAUAAUUCUCUU